rnacentral:rRNA from 1 species
GAUGAACGCUGGCGGCGUGCCUAAUACAUGCAAGUCGAGCGAAAAGACGAGGAGCUUGCUCCCCUGACGUUAGCGGCGGACGGGUGAGUAACACGUGGAUAACCUACCUCUAAGACUGGGAUAACUUCGGGAAACCGGGGCUAAUAACGGAUAACAUGUUGAACCGCAAGGUUCAACAGUGAAAGACGGUCUUUCUGUCACUUAUAGAUGGCUCCGGGCCGCAUUAGCUAGUUGGUAAGGUAACGGCUUACCAAGGCAACGAUGCGUAGCCGACCUGAGAGGGUGAUCGCCCACACUGGAUCUGAGACACGGUCCACACUCCUACGGGGGGCAGCAGUAGGGAAUCCUCCGCAAUGGGCGAAAGCCUGACGGAGCAACGCCGCGUGAGUGAAGAAGGACCUCGGAUCGGAAAACUCUGUUAUUAGGGAAGAUCAAAUGUGUAAGUAACUAUGCACGUCUUGACGGUACCUAAUCAGAAAGCCACGGCUAACUCCGUG